GAACAAUGAUGAUAUUUGCACAGUUUGUGAACGAUGGGUCGUCACGCCUAAUCUGAAAUUCAGAUGAAAAAAAGUGCUUCUGAGCUC